GGUACAUUCAACUGGGUGAGUUUAUGAUACCCAUGUUUAUUCUAAGCUUUGACUUAUCAGUCUUGUCCUUGCUUAUUUUCCAGGUUCAGUUUUGGACCCAGUUCAAGCUCCUUGAAGAACCUACCUGACCUCACCUUCGUUGCCAAGAUUUCCAGUCAAGCUUUGCUGGCAGCCGUUGGACUCCAUAACCUCAGCUUCUGCGAGCGAAACCUGUCCACCCUCCAGUGAGCGGCACCACUGGACCAAAUCACUAAGAAAACAACGAAUCAAAGAUCUGAUCGGUGCAAAGGAUCAGUUAUCAGGGUGACCAGGCUUACCAAACUUACCAGACCCAGAAUAACUCCCCUCCGGCGAACCAGCACCUGCAACAAACUCCGAGAGGUUCCAGUCUCAGAUCCCACCUCCAUCGGACCUGUGAACAGAUAAACACGUUAAACUUCA